rnacentral:lncRNA from 1 species
UUUUUUUUUUUUUAGAAGUAAUUAACAAAAACACAAGAAUUUUCUUGGUGUGUGGGGGCCACUGGUGUCAGCCUCCUUCACUGUCAGUUUGCUGUGUGGCUUGGGAUCUGCUCAGGGUCUCUCUCUGGGUGGCUGGCUCAGGCUUCGGUUUGAGGUCCCUCUGUGCUCUUGGUGGAGCACUGGGUGCCUCUGUGUGGACCUCAUGGAUCUGUGUGCGGGUCUCAGAGAUUUCUUUUCCCUGAGAGUGGGCUCUGUAUGAGGUUCCUGUGGGAGUUUUCUCUGUGUGAACUCUGUAUCAUCUCUGACAGGUCUCAGUGGGGGUCUCUCAGAGGUCUCUGUGUGAUGUCUCCUGUGUAUCUUCUCCAUGAGCUCUCUGUGGGGGUCUGUCAGGGGUCUCUGUGGAGGUCUCUGUAUAUGAUCUCUGAGAGGUCUCUGUGUGGGUCUCUUAGGGGUCUCUGUGUGGGACUCUUGGUGGCGGGCUUCCCAUUGCUGGCUUUCUGAUCUUAUGGCAGGAGAAGGGCAGAGACUUGCCCCUUCUUGUUUCUUGCUGUUCUCUCAGUGUCGCCGUCUGUGUCACUUCUCCCAACAGGAGCCAGCUCCCCCCACCCCCAGCCCCACCUCUCACUGCCCCUGAGAGGACACAGCAGCGGCCAGUCUCAGGUCCCACUCUGGGCCACCCUCUCCUGAGCUCCCUAGGGUGUGCCCUGCUCUGGGUCCUGGUCCCUUCCCUGGUCCUGACUGCGCCAUCACUGCUGUGCCCACCCUGGAGGAUGGGGCCCUGAGGCAGGACCUGGCUCCAGGAAGAAAUCUGUGCCUGCUCCCCCCUCCUCCCUGGGUCCUGGGCCCACAUGUUGGGUCCUGACAGGCAGGGGCAGGGCCCUUCCUUCUGUCACCUGGAUCGGGUCCCCUCCUGGAGAAGGCCCCUCCACCGUGGGAGUGACCAUGACACAAAGCACCAAUGGCUCUAAAGAACUGCCCUGGUCCCCCAGCUUCCCGUGUGCACGGUGGGGGAGGGGACCCCAUGCACCCUCCUGCCCUGCAGGUCACUUCCUCCCUACUGUGUGACAAGUCCUGUCUGCUGGCCCUUCCCUCUCAGGGCUCUGGAGUGAGCAAGGCUGCUGCCAGGUGUCACUUGCUAGAACCCUAGGACAGUCCCUGGCCUCUUAAGUGCCUGGGAGCCUCCUAGGGCCAUGUAUGUAGGUAAAGGUCACAGACUGCGAGUCUGUCCUGAGCUGCCCCUGCCGUGAAAGCUGAUGAGAUCAUGGUGGGGAAGUGACCCGCCCUGUUGAGGCUCUGCUGCCUCCAUGAGCCUCCCCCCCACCUCCAUGAAGGAGCUACAGGCAUCUUUCCUCUGGGCUCUGGGAGCUGGAGGAGCAGGGAGGUUCUGGGGUAGGGCCACCAAGAGCCAACUUCUCUCUGGGCCAGAGAUGUGGUGGGACAUCAGAGGCUCCUUGGUCACUGCACCUUGCCUGCAUCCCAGCCUGGGCACCUCUUCCACUUGCCUCCUUCCCGGCAUCCCAGCCUGGGGCACAGUGUCCUCUGACAGGUGGUGAGGUGACAGCACACAUGGUCAUGGCCCUGCUUGUCCCCCAAGGGAUGUGGGCACUGUGAGCAGGAGGAGUGGACAGGCCCUCAGUGGCCUCAAUGGCCCCCACCCUCCCCCCACACCCUCACAGCUGGGACUGCCUGGUCCUCGUCCUUGCCGCUGCUCCAGAGCGUGAGAAAGGCAGAGAGAGGGUGACCUCCUGGGCCAUCUCCCCCCCAGCUCCCUCAGCCAGAGGAGAAGCUUCCCAGGUGGAGGUCAUCUCUGCCCACCAAGGCCUGGGGGGCAAGGCUGCCCGCACCCCAGCGCUGCCCCCAAAUGCCCUCCUUAUUCUGACAUGGGAACUGGUCUCUGACACUUGUUGGAGCCUGAGGGGCAUUUCAGCCUCUGCCACCCACCCCCGUCCCCUACAGCCACACAAGUUCAAGGUAGACAGAAAGCGGGAGAGGAUGGCUGAGCCAGAUGGUGGCAUGGGGGAAGUCUUCCAGGUUGCGUUCCCCUGCCAUGUCCUGAAUGCUGUCGCUUGCUUCGGUAAUUCUGGUAUUAGGGGAGCUUCAGGUGCAACGAGGGAACUGGGGGCGAGCAUUCCACCUUGGGGCCAGCCUCCCUCUGUGGCCCUGUCCCUUCUGGAAGCCAAAGCAGACACCUGGGAAAAGUGGACCCUGACCCCAUCCCCUCCCCCUGAAGGCACAGACAGAAACCGCCACCUCUUAGGGGAAAGAAACAUAUAUUUGGGGAAACAAUGAACGUUAUGGUAGGAAUAAGCCAUUGGCACAUAGAGGAUGUGCUAGCAUGAGGGAGAAACAGGUUUCCUUAGUAUGGACUGAAUUUUCAUAUCAGGCAAAGCUUGAGGAGCACACCCUGGUUGACCAGCAGAUGCACAUUUUUGAGGAGAGCAUGUCAGGUGAUGGUGCAGGUGGCCUGAGGUACCUGCCACUAUUGGUCCCUGCUGGCAGGGUCUGCCUGGGGUCCCUAGGUCCUUGGGUGGGGAGGACCACUUGCCACCCUUGUCUUUGGUGCCCCCACUGUUGAGAGAGCUGUGGUCCUUGGGGGUGGUUUGGUGACCGUGAACUCGAUUUCUCAACAGUCUUUUCUGUUCUAAGAAGGCGUGAACCUUCUGGUAGUGAGACUGCCCCCCUGCUGGGGGCUGGAGCCGCUAUGUGUGCUGGUUUAACUCUGAGGGCUGGAGGUCUUGACGAAGCCCCAGUUGCUCUCCCAGGAUCUGUCCAAUAACAGUUCCAGUCACCUCAGCUUCUGGAGCCCCAGAUCCCCCUUGGACUGGUUCCUGGCAUGGAGCAGUGAGUGAUACAGGCUUGCCUUUUUGAGGGACUGUUUCCAUUCCUUUACCUUUUUUAUGGGGACUUACACACUGCAGAAAGUGCUUCAUCCUUCUUCUGAAGUAGCUUUCCAGUAAAAUCUGUUGCUUCCCUGGAGAGAACGGGAGGUCUUUGCUCCCAAGGGACUCUCCUCUUUCCUUGACCUUGGGAGGAUGGCUCACACCAUUGGCUUGGGAAGCCCUUAGACCUGAAAACUUUUCUUCAUACUCUUCUGGUUGGAGCCUUGUAAGUCCCCUCUGCUCAUCAUUUGGAGCAAACCUCUCUCUCCAGCUCUUUCUUUGUUUAUGUGCUUUUGGCUUGGGCCUCUUGAAGCCCUGCCACUCCUUAGCUGGGGCAAACAUCUCUCUCUGGCCAUUUGUUUCAUUGUCAUCUUCUGGUAGGAGCCACUCACAGACCUCCUCCUCAUCAUCUGAGACCAUCUGGCCCUUACAUGGGUCCCUCACUUUUGGGUUUGGGGGUUGCUGUUGGCCCUGGCUGCUCUUUGAGUUUUUGUGCUCUUCAGGUUGGAGCCUCUUAAAUCUCCUCCACUCAUCAGUUGGGGCAAGCAUCACACCCUGGCUAUUGUAUGGGUGCCUAAGUUUUGGUUUUGUGGAUUUCUGCUGCCCUUGGCUGCUCUGUUCACUCCCUUUGAGGUUGUAUGGUACCUGGGAAGCUGGCCCAUCCUCACUAGCAUAUUCUCUCUGGAAAUGGGACAGGGAGCUCUGAGAAGCCAAGAUGUCUGAAGCAAGGCGCACAUCAGUGUGAGAGUCUUGAAGGAGCACAGUGGUGACAGCAUCCUGGAGGAGCAUGCCAGUGGCAGAGUCUUGGAGGAGGACAUCUGUGUGAGUAUCUUUAAGGUCCUCAUCGGUGGCAUGGCCUUGAGGCUGAUUCUUUGCCUCUACCAGACCUCUCCGUUCAAACUUACUAGCCACCUGUGUUUUAAGGCAAGGCUCCUUUGGGUCUUGGGCCAUUGACUUUGUCAGCGGUGAUAGGCUUGUGCUAGUGGCUGGAAACCCAGAUUUUCUCAGAUCUGCCUCCGAGGUUUGAGAGUUGGCCAGCACACUGGGUCCCAAGAUAACUUCCCCAGCAGGGUCCUCCCCAGUCUCCCUGGCCUCCAUGGCCUCCAUGGCCUGUUUGGCCAUUGAAGAUGGGGACGUUAAGUCCAUCUCCAGUCCCGAGGCACUAUGGCAGGGGUGUUUGGAGGUCUGAGCCAGACACCUUUCCCUGGAUUUCCUCCUGGUCAUUGGUGAACUUGGACUGGGCCCUGAGAAAUUCCCCACCGGCAGGAUUCUGCCCCUGUGUUUGCGUGGGGGCUUGGGAGGAGGCGUCCUUCUCUCCUGCCCAGUCAGAGGGGCCUUUGAGGGCUCGUGGCUGACUCCAGGUAGAGGCCUGCCCAGGGCGCCAUGGACUUGCCUAGCUGCAGGUGAGGGGGCAGGCAGGGGACUCAGCAGGGUGGGAACGGACACUCUUGUUAGCACGUUCUCUCCCUGAUGGGGCUGAGGUUUUCCCAAGACCUUGGAAACGUUGGCUUUGGAGUGCUCCCUGGGUUGCUGGGUGGCUGAGGGGGAAAAGGUAGACCUUGGAAGGGGUGAGGGCUGAGCCCCACUUGGCUUGAGAUAUAUGGGUUCAAAAGCCUGGGUAGGAAAGCCCCACCUGUACCUUACCCGCAGCCUCAUAAUAUGUACUUCCAGCAUCUGUCGAAUGCCAGGACUAAGAAAGGAAAGCUGCCUGGAGGUGUUUACACAGGGCUUCCAAUACUUCAAGGAUGCUGGAUUUCGGAUUUCCUUGUGACUGUGGGACUUAGGAAGAGACUGGUUGGCAGCAAGCCAGGAUCGCCGUACAGUCACAGGGAUCAAACCCUUAUGAAUCUGCUGCACCUUUUUGCUCAGAUGGACUUUCAAGGUUCUUUCUAGAUGUCUUCUAUCUGGAACCCUGGGGAAACACUUUGCAGAGUCCCUCUGCAAGGAUCUUUCUGCCACCAUAUCAGAGUUCAUUUCCAGAAACGUGUCUGGGAGGCUGGCCCUGGAGAGAGCUUUUGAGACCCUACUGAGACAUGGCUCUAGAGCCUUGAUGAACUCCUUGCCUAGUUGGAUGGUCAUUUGGCAUCUCCUCUGGGAUCUGGUAGUGCUCCUGGACCUUGUCUUAUAUGGGUCCAGGCCACUACUUCCUGUGAGACUAGAGGGCUGCCUGGGUCCUUGUCGGCCCUGUGCUGCAUGCAUGUCUACCAAUGGGCACUGAAAUGGAUUCAGUUCCAGAGACAGUGGGAUCCCGAGAGACAGGCCCCUCUCUUUUUGAUUUUCAGUGAGCCUCUUUUGAAGCUGUUGCUUCUGCAGCCAGGAGCAUGCCAGAGGUUGCGUUUCAGCUGGGGUGAAAUAGAGUGCCUUCUUCUGGAAUGUUGGGCAAUAUAGCCCAAGGGUCCCCAGCUGGGGUGGAGUAGAAGGUGGUCUGAACAGGAGAGAGACAGUGGGAGGAAGUGCUAGGCAUGGGUCUGAGCCAGGAAGAGGGCCUGGGACUAAGGCAAGUUUUGAGUCAAAGGCUGGGGUUGGGCCUCAGGGCAGGGCAAGAAGGAGUCCUGGGAAAAAUCUCCAGAUAGUCUUGGUGGCGUGGGUUCUGGAAAGCCACUAGAGAUUCCAUAGAAUAAAACGGGGGAGCCUGUAGUUGAGAAGAGCUCCAAGGGACAAAAGCAGUAGCCACCAAUGCCUCGCUGUGCAGAGAGGGGAGACCCCAGAAGAGCUGGCUGUGUGUGCACUCAAAGUGGUCCCUCAAGACCUUGGGGUAUAAGAACUGCUGAGGACCGGGCAGCAGCUCUGCUUUGUCUUUAUGUUCGCAAAGGAUGGAGGGGUUGUAGCAUCCUGCUGCCCACUCAGUGAUGUCCAUAUCAUCCCCAAAGAGCUCAGGGGGUAGUCUGAGCUCCUUUGUUUUGAAAAUGACCCAUAUUUUCCUCUCUCUUUCUGAAUCUUUAGUUCUACCCUCUUGCUGAUGAAGGAUCUCCAGCAGCCUCUGGAUAUGUGGGCUGACAAGUGAGGGUCUGCUCGUCUCUCCCCAGCUGUCUGUGGGGCUUUUCCAGUUGGAGGCCUCUGGUGAGGUGGGCUCUUGCUGGGCCUCCUGCUUGGAUGAGAUGGGGAAGAAUAAGGCCUUGGUGGUCUCCCACCAGCAUGACAGGAAUGACAUGGGACAGCUGGCGAGGCCAAGACCCAGAUGGCUUGGAUGGUAGAUGCCCAAAAGGAGUUACCUGGAGGUGAGCACUUUGCGGCAGGACCCUGUGGGAUGCUCUUGAUGUUGCAUUGGUCUUGAGGGUCUGCUGCCAGGAUGGAGGCCAGAGGGGGAGGGCUCUGGGUCAGAGGAGCCGGGGAAGCUGAUGGGGGCAUGGUAGGAACAGCCUCUAGUGCAGGCUCCCUGCAUGGCUGCUGGGCUCCAGCGGGCACUGCCUGGCACACCUCGCCAAGGGGGUCUGGACGUGAAUAGCAGUGAAAGUGGCCCCUCUCAGGGACUCUGCACAGGUGGUUGCAGGAGACAAGAGGCACAAGCUCUAGGCAGGAGCCGACGGAGCCAAGGCAGGGCCCCCACAGCCCCCACGCUGACUUCACAGUGCACCUGUUGUCCCUCCCCUUGGGGCUUGAGCUGAACCCUGCUGCCAUGGCUCCCCUUCCCAGGUCAGCCCCAGGCUGCCUGCAGCCCUAGGGUCACACCCUGAGCCCUGGAAGGAAGGAGAACCCAGGAGAGAAAGGAAAGAUUCUUUACCUUUGCAGAUGUGCCAUCAGGCCCCAAACCCAUCCCAGCUGUUACAGACCAUCUCUGCAGGCUGGAAAUCAGGACACUGGGGCAUGGUGAUGAAGGCAAGGGCAUGAGGGCUUUACAGGAGGCUGGUACCUUUAGGGACACUUUUGGGAGACUGGAACCCAAGCACCAGUGUCCAAGGCCACACGAAUCCUGACAGUGAUGGAGAAGCUCCCAGACAGUUUUCUCAUUUGCAAAGUGCUUCCAUAUCUAUUACCCCUGGCUGCCCUCACAAGCCCCCUGGGGGUGCGGGGGUGGGGGGGAGGGAGCAGGGAGACCUCACAGAGGAAUCCCGGCCAUGUGAAACCACUUGUUCUCAGUCCAACCUGGAGGAUCCACCUCCCAAUCCAGGCACUCCUGGUCCAAGACAGCCCACAUGCCCCUGCUGGGUCAGGCCCUUUCCCAGGCUCCUCACAGCUUCAUUCUGCAAAAGGAUCUGGUUCCUGCUUUCCUUUGCUGAGGGUUCUGUUUCCUGCUGCUGGCAUCCUUAUAGACCAAGGAGCUGGUCCCGCAGGGCCGGGAGAGAUGGAAGCGGACUCUCAGGGCGCACAGGGCUGAACGUGGAAGCUUACCUUUCAAGGCUCUAUUUCUCAUCCUACUCCUCCUCCCCACCAGCUCCAUUUGUUGCUGAGAAAGAGGAAAGAAAAAAAAAAAAAAAAGAGGGGCUGGUUCCCACUUCUCACUCUGCCUGCUCUAAAGCAUUAAACGCUCGAGACACUCCACAACCAGGCAUAAUAGGACUUUCUACAUUGAACUAAUGGAGCUCUGUGGGUUUUCUUUUCUUUCAUUCAUUUUUAAAGUGGAUACAAAUAUUCUGUGUUCCUUCAUUGAAGAACACAAGGAAGGAUUUUCUAAGAGAUCUACUCUGGAUUUCUUGCAUCACUGUUCCUUUGCUCAAGAAACACACCUUCUCAGGUCUCUGCUCUCCGAGGUGGGGCCCCACCUGCUCAGAGGCUCCCAGGGCCUCAGCACUGCCCUCAGACGAGCCUUUGUUCAAGACCCUUGUUCGUGGCUGGUGAACAAGUGCUCAGGGGCUUGACCUGUGGCUGAGAUGGAACUCUUAGUAUCCAGUCCUUGGCCGCUGGUCACUGCAUUUGGGACUAGCCCUGGAGCCCUCUCCCCUCCUGGGACACCUGGUCUGAGAUCUUUGGCCAGAAAUCCCAACGCCCACUCUUUCCCCUGUCGGGCCUGGCUUGUCCCUAGAGGGAUGGUGUGUGUUGUUUCAUUAUCCUAGAUGUCCUCUUCUUUCCCAUCUCAGGAGUCUCUCUAGUGGCUUCAGAAAAGUGAAAGUAAUAAUAGGAAAGAGAGACUCAUGUGCUCUUGGGUCUGGGCCCUGGGUUCCUUACCUUCCUGAUGCUCCCAUGUGUCCCAGAUGGUAGUGAGGACAGAUCACUCCUGAGGUAGGGGCAUAAGAGGAAGAAGAGCCCCAGUCUACACACCAAGGCGAGGAUGGUUUCAUCCACCCAGGAAGCGGGACUGGGGUGCCACCAAGGAGCACCCAUAUUGUUCACAAAAGAGUGAAGAUUCUUUAUCUCUUCACAAGGCUUUCACAGGAGAUAGCACUGUUACCCGCAGGUAACUGAACCCUG